UGAGGAAUAUUGGUCAAUGGGCGAGAGCCUGAACCAGCCAAGUCGCGUGAGGGAAGACGGUCCUAUGGAUUGUAAACCUCUUUUGCCGAGGAGCAAAGAGCGGCACGUGUGCCGCGCCGAGAGUACCCGGAGAAAAAGCAUCGGCUAACUCCGUGCC
rnacentral:rRNA from 1 species